UGGCACGUGGAAGGUCUGCUCCUCAUUCCUUUAGGAACAGGAAUACAUCUAUAACAUGCUACAUUAAAAAAGGAGUUCUCAGGACUGACAACCUAGUGGUAGUAUAUUUCUCCUACAUUA